AGUCGAGGCCAAGUUAUGCUAGACUCAGCUUGGACUGGGCUCGUUUGUAGGCAGAGUCGUGUCAGGUAUGCUUCAAGGUUUCCUAUGUCCUAACUUGAGUCCACCUGAACUUGACUUAAGCCAAUGCUAGUUCUAUGUCAGGCUUCUAGGCCCUUCUCCUCCAAAUCUUCUAUAGCUAAUGGAAACCUUGGGAGGAGGGGUCAAAUGAGAUUAUGAUUGCUAAUGAUGAGAGGCUGUCGAGGUGAGGGAUGGAGUUGGAGAGAUGACAUGAAAAAAGAAAGCACAAUUGCUGGGACUCAAUUGUAAGAAAAAAUGAAUGAUCAUCUUUACAUUCUUGAUAAGUGAAUAGUGGAAAAGGUAAGAACAUGAGAAGCGAGGAAGCUAAUUCAUAUACAAUCAAAUAAAAUAUUAGAAUUACAAGAAUGCCAAUGUACAUUGAUACAUUUUCUUCACCACUAUAUUAUGCUUGAAGCAAGGUUUCCUGUACCGGUACCGAUGGUCGGAUCGGCCGGCCGGUGGUACGAUACGGCAUGCCUCCGUUCCGUUCCGAACCGAGGCGAACCGACGAAGGAAACCGGAAAAGAAAAAGAGAGAAAGAGAGAGAAAUAGAGAGAGAGAGGGAGGAAGGAAGAAAAAGAAGGAAGGGGAUCCGUCGGAGGGGCCGCCAGAGGCCCUCCGACGGACAGCCGUGGCCGUCGGGCGGCAGAACGGCCUACCCGCGGNNNNNNNNNNNNNNNNNNNNNNNNNNNNNNNNNNNNNNNNNNNNNNNNNNNNNNNNNNNNNNNNNNNNNNNNNNNNNNNNNNNNNNNNNNNNNNNNNNNNNNNNNNNNNNNNNNNNNNNNNNNNNNNNNNNNNNNNNNNNNNNNNNNNNNNNNNNNNNNNNNNNNNNNNNNNNNNNNNNNNNNNNNNNNNNNNNNNNNNNNNNNNNNNNNNNNNNNNNNNNNNNNNNNNNNNNNNNNNNNNNNNNNNNNNNNNNNNNNNNNNNNNNNNNNNNNNNNNNNNNNNNNNNNNNNNNNNNNNNNNNNNNNNNNNNNNNNNNNNNNNNNNNNNNNNNNNNNNNNNNNNNNNNNNNNNNNNNNNNNNNNNNNNNNNNNNNNNNNNNNNNNNNNNNNNNNNNNNNNNNNNNNNNNNNNNNNNNNNNNNNNNNNNNNNNNNNNNNNNNNNNNNNNNNNNNNNNNNNNNNNNNNNNNNNNNNNNNNNNNNNNNNNNNNNNNNNNNNNNNNNNNNNNNNNNNNNNNNNNNNNNNNNNNNNNNNNNNNNNNUCUCUCUCUCUAUUUCUCUCUCUUCCUCUUCUUUUUCUUCCCGGCAACGGCAUGUACCGUUUUGCAUGCUGGAACCGUCUCGGUUUCCCGCCGGGAUGGUUCGGCACGCCCCGUACCGGGCGGUUCGGCCUGGUAUGGCAAACCCUGGCUUGAAGUUUCACACCAAUUUUAAGUUCCUAUAUACUUUAUCCAAAAUUUUGAAAGGAUAUAAUCCAAAGGUGAAUGUUUUUAUUUUUGAGACUGAAACUAAGAAUUCUUCUCCAAUGAGUUCUGAGAGACUUUUUUGUGUGAAAGAAUAAAGUCGGGUUAGAGUGGUAGAGGAGUUUGAAUGGAGGGAGAGUGAUACAAGUUUAAAAUCAUAGUUCAAAGCAGGGGAAUCCAAUGAUAUCAAGAGUGCACAUGUGGUUAUUGAUGUGGUUUCUAAAGAGAGAGAAACAGGAUACAAGUAAAACCAGACACCCAAAAGAGUAAUGGUUUUGACAUGAUCAUGGUGGGACAAAGUUAAUGGAUAGAGGGAGGCGAAGGACAGCUAUUCAGGAUCCAUUUCGUGGUUUAUGUGUAGGAGUUCUACUAAACUUAACAUAAAAACACAAAUAUAUGGUGCAGGUCUGUAUCAUCUGUGUUGGAAGCCGUUUAUUGUUCAUAAGCAUUAGUGAGGUAUUCUAAAUUUUGGCCAUUUUGACUAAGGUUUACAUCAUGCUUUUAUGAUUAGAUGUAGAUAUAUCAUUUAUGGAAAGCCUUACCAAGUUUUAGAAGAAUCCUUUUUAACCUUUUAAUGCAGAAUCAUUAUUAGUAUUGUUAAUUGUUGAGAUCUGUAUUUUGUAUUCUUAGUCUUGUUACAUUCUUUAUUGAGUUAAUAAAUCAUAGUAGAAGAUUCCUUUUCUUAAAUUUUUUUUAUAUUGGAAGAAAUGUUAAGUGUGUAUUCUGUUAUCCUAUGCGAUACUCCUUGUUGUAUAUUGGACUGGAAAGCCCAUGUUUGAUAAAAGCAGAUUACUUCUUUUGAUUCCUGCUUGAUGUACAUUCCAUGCUGAUCAUAAGCUGAUACUGUAGUUCAGUAGGCUAAAUUAGAGACCUGCAUUUGGAGUCAAUGAAUUUUUUCCACUUUUUGGAUAAUCUAUUAUUUUAACGAGUGCAUUGUUAAUUUUUGGCCUUUCAAUUGAUUUAUGUAUUGAUUGUUUGGGCUGCUUGCCUGAUUGAUUCUUUUAACCACUAUGUGCUUUAAUUAGGUUAGUGAAGAAGUGGAACGUGCAUUAGCAAAGCUGGGUCCUGCUAGGCUUGGGGGAAGGUGCAAGAUCAUGACAUUCACCAUUCAAAUGACUAACAUUUUGGCCAAUUACUUGCUUCAGUCUCUCUGAUAUGUGGUUAACAUGAACUUGCUUUUUUACAUGUUAUUUUCUAGACCAUACUAAUUUGAAAUUCAUGUUGUUAUGGCUCUUGGCUGAUUUUGACUGUUCUUAGUUGGUUUUGUUGCUUUAUCACAAUUUAAAAAUGCCCAAGGACGAUGUAUGUAUUCAUGGUUUUGCUUAUACAAUUAUGUUAGUGAUCGCAUGUUUGGGUGGCUCUCAAGAGUCUUAAUUUGAUGUAAAAUCUGGCUAUGUAUUACUGAUUUUUAUUGAUCUGCUAACAAUCUACUGCAAGCAACAUAAUUGAUGACCCUACAUUAAGGAAGCAUAUAGACCUGGGUAUCAGCUGAGCCUGGUCACAAGUUAGCAUCAGGAAGCUAUAGGCUGGCCUAGGCUUGACUUGGGAACUUGAGAUGGAUUUAAUCAGCUCCAGCUUGACCCAAUUGUUAAAUUUAAGGCUGGAGACAAACCUGGCUCAGCCCAAUCCAAGCAGAAUCCCAAAGACACUUGAUCCUGUUCCACCUUUUUUUUAUUGGUGGGGUUAUUGAUGUUUGUGGGUUUUUUUUUUUUUUGUUUUGCUUUUUUGGGGGGGGGGGGGGGUGUUAUUGUGGGGUUGGUUGGCUAGAUUCUUGGGUAAAUAAUUUGGGUACAUGUUGUUAGAGAUGAUGACAUGGGCUGGAUUCGGAUUCUUUGCAUCUACUAGACCAUAGACUUGCGGAUUGGACAUUGAAGCACCAUAGGCCCCAUUGGGUGAGGUUGAAGGCUAAUGCCAACCCAGCCACCCCCCACCUCCUAAAAAGGAAAAAAAAAUCUGAAGCUAAAUUUAGGUUGGUUCAAGUUAGUGUGGAUGAGCUGUGUUGGCUUGGAUUAAUUGGAUUAAGUUUCAUUAUAUAGGUAUUUUAAGAUUGACAGGAGGUUUCAGAAAUUUUUGCUAGGUUAAUUUUGGGUUGGUGGGGAUCUCACUUGAUUCUACUUAUGCAAUUUUAUAUCUCAAUAGGGCUAUACAUAGAUGUAUGAAACAUAAGCCAUAUUCUAUGCGAAACAUUAAUAUAUACUUGUUUAUUCAUUGAGUUAGUUCAGAUUGGGCUGUCUUAUGGUUGGGUUGGGGUAGGGUUCAGGUUGGCGUUGAUGUCAACCUAGCUUAACCCAACUUGGGUUGAGUUGGGAUUUUGGAGCCCAAUGCCAAUCCAACACAACAAGCAUGUCGGGUUGUUCAGGUUCAGGUUGAACCAACCCAAGUUGCACCCUGUCUGAGCUCAGCCUGAAACUCAAUCAUGACUGAUGAUCUGGGGCUGGCCAACUGGUGAGCCUGAAAUUCAUACCCUGCCUUGCCUAAUUUUUAGGAUGGUUUGUGUGGGUUGGACUGGCAGGUAAGUCUGUAGAUGUCCAGGUUUAGAAGUCUGUACAUGCUUAUAUUUUUAACAAGUAAUUUCCCAAAACUUGGAGCCUGGUGCCUUUAGUGAAUCAACCUUGAAACGUGAUUCUUAUCUGCUCUUAGAACAUGGUUGCUUUUAGUAGAUUGCUAGAGUGAAACAUGUUCUAGUUAAAAGUUUUGCCCUUUAGACCUCGGUAUUGCUAUAAAACAGUGCCUAUAUUCUUGGGUGCAGCUCCCAAUCGUUAUUUCUACUAAUUUUUCUUACUUUACACUUCUUCACACAUCAUUCUAUGUUAUUGUUUCAUUAUAACAACCAUCCUUUACUAGCAAUUUGAUUAUAAUCCAUUAUAUGUCAUUUUGUUACCUUUGUUUAUUUAUCUAUCACUUAAGAUAUGAUGCUUAAAAAUGUUUAUGCUAAUUUCUAGUACCAAAGGAACCAUAGAAGCCCCACAAAUCAAUAAAGCUAGGACCUUUAAAGAUUCUGAAACCUAUAUUUUUCAUAAACUUUAUGCCUUUUUCUUGCUAAAGACCACCUUGUUUCAGUUACCAUCAUUAUUAGAGUUUUGUAAUAAAAGUUAAUGUUGAUUCCUGCACUGAACAGCUCAUGCUGCAAUUAUAAUUUUAGUUUGUAUUCACUUGUAUUUUCCACGUGCAAAAUUACUGUUGAAGUAGUCAUAUGCAAUCCUUCUAAAUGUCUGCUGACAAAGUGCCAAAGAUCUGCAUCUCGCUUAUAUUUGCAAAUGUGUUCUACUUUAAGCUUAGUAACUGUCAGAUGGAGUGGAAAUUAGAGUUGGGCUUAAAAACAUAUGAAGACUGUGCUUAUUGCCAUUGGGAAGAACUGGUGAAAAGGAAUUUCAUGAUACCAUUAGUAUGAUUAAAAAUGAUAAGAGGAACGACAGACAGAGGAUACUUGUAUUCUAGGGGAUAAGUGAAAUUUCACUGCAUGAUAUCUUUGUUCAAUAUUUGGGUUGGAUGGUACCUACAAUCACCAUUCUUUACUCUAAGCCUCUAUGUAUGUGCAAUUGCAUGUGGAUUUGUGUAUUGGUCUGUGACAUACAUAUAUUAAGAAGGUAAGUACAAGAGAUAUUACAUCAUGAUCAUGGCCUUUUAUGAACAUGUGUCUGUUUGUGUGCACAUCCAUGAAAAGGUUAAUUGUAGAAGAUAUUAUGCCAUGAACAUUGCUUUCUUGUCAAGUAUGCAUUGUAUCUAGUUGAUAACCUUGUGGAACAUGGUUCUUCGGUUGUGUGUAUAACAUAACCUUUUGGUUUAGCUUUCAUUUCCUGCCACUGUAGUUUCCAUUUCUCCUACAUCAUAAAAGGAGAAAGGGGAGAAUUUGCCUCAUGUUACAAAAAUGAAAUUUUUGGAUACAUUUUUGUAUCCGUUAUUUUCAUGGUGACUGCAUAUGUGGAUUGGUUUUUCUACUUUGAUAAUUAUGAGAAUAGGAGUUUUAUUUAUACUCUAUUCCUUAGCGCAGCAUCAUUCAGUCAGACAGUCCACCAAUACAGGAUCAUAGCCUGCUACUUGAGGCCGGUAGCAGUUCCACUAAUGUGAUACAUUUACAGUACACCAAAGUGAAGUAUUUUCUUCAUCAUUAUUUUUUUCAUUUAAUAAUCUUGGGUCAACUUAAUUCCUGUAAUUUAUUACACUAUUCUCACCUCAUGCUAUAAUCACUGGUUAUUAACUAUCCUAUUUUGGUUUUCUAAUUUCAUCACAUAUAUAUGUAAAAAAUAUUUACCUUAUAGAAAUUUUAUCUGUGAGGAUUAUUCUAAUUCUUUAUGAAAUGCAGAUCUUCACCCAAGCGUAUAGAAGGGCCUGAUGGAAGAAACCUGCAGCUACAUUUUAGAUCAAGUUUGUCUCUACCACUUUUUACGGGAGCAAGAGUUGAAGGAGAGCAGGGAGCCGCAAUUCAUGUGGUGUUGAUUGACACAAAUACUGGCCUUGUUGUAACAUCAGGGCCUGAGUCAUCAGCAAAACUGGAUGUGGUUGUGCUUGAAGGUGAUUUUAACAAUGAAGAUGAUGAUAACUGGACUGAAGAAGAAUUUGAAAAUUACGUAGUCAAAGAGCGUGAAGGAAAGAGACCACUUUUGACUGGUGACCUCCAGGUUACUUUGAAAGAAGGUGUGGGGACUCUUGGGGAGCUUAUCUUUACAGAUAAUUCUAGCUGGAUACGAAGUAGAAAAUUCAGGCUUGGUCUGAAGAUUGCAUCAGGCUUCUGUGAAGGUAUUCGUAUUCGUGAGGCAAAAACAGAAGCUUUUACUGUUAAGGAUCAUCGAGGGGAAUGUAGGUUUACCACAAACCAUUGCAAUUUAGUAUCUUUUCUCUGUACAUAUAUUGGAAUUCCAGUUUAAAAUGUCAUUACUUUCCAUUCUUUACAGUAUACAAGAAACACUACCCACCUGCCCUAAAAGAUGAGGUUUGGAGAUUGGAAAAGAUUGGAAAAGAUGGGGCAUUCCACAAAAAAUUAAAUAAGAAUGGAAUCUUGACAGUCGAAGAUUUUCUCCGGCUUGUUGUAAGGGAUCCACAAAGAUUGCGGAAUGUAAGAUUUCGUACAUGGGCUGUUGAAAUAGAAUCUUACUUUGUUAUUGUUUGUUGUUUUAAUGAUUUUUUUUUCUACAACUGUAGAUACUUGGAAGUGGCAUGUCAAAUAAGAUGUGGGAUAGCCUCGUGGAGCAUGCUAAGACUUGUCUCUUGAGUGGAAAGUAUUAUAUAUACUAUGAUGAUGAAACAAGGAAUGUCGGUGCAAUCUUCAAUAACAUUUAUGAAUUUAGUGGCCUGAUAGCUGGAGGGCAGUUCUAUUCAGCUGAAUGUCUGGCUGACAGUCAGAAGGUUGGUUUUAUUUGCAUACUUAUUGUUUUUUCCAGAUCCUGAUGGUAAUUUUUAUGGAUUAUCUAUAAUACAUUUUCAUGAGCUAAGGCUUUUUAACAUGGAAAUGUAAUCUAUAUGACCUCUCAGCUGGGCUGAUGUAUAGGCUAUGAUGUACCACUGAAACACUAAAAACACGUGUGCAAUGAAUGAAGCAUAUGAUAAUGUCACACCCAUGUGCCAAAAAACAAAGGGUAACUAUUUGCUUACAUUAUAUCAGUUGUGUCCUGUGCUUGUAAAAUUGUAAUAUUUCACUUUUCAAAGUAAGUCCUCUAUUUGCUUAAGAUUUAGUAAAAUUGUUAUUGCUAGCAAGAUUUAAAAUCUAGUGGGAUGGGGCUGUCCUUGUUUUCUUAUGAAACAGGAUGUGCUGCCAUCCUGCCGGUCCCAAAACUUGGGACAGAAGAUGUCACAAGAUGUGCUGAUCGGGAUGUUGGGAUGAUGGCAGGACGGUUUUGUUUCUGACAUGUUGGAUGGUACCCCAUCCCGGUGUCUCACGGGACGUCCUGUUGGGAUUUGAAUCUUAUUAGCCCUAGCAUAUUGCUACUUAGCAGAGUUACAAGAUUCUUCAUAGAUUUUAUUAGUAAGGCAGUGGAGCUAGAAGCAUCAACAUUAUAUUAGAGUUACAGGCAUUAACAUGGUUGAGUGGCUAUUGGAUAACUAUGUCCUCAAACAUGAAUAUACUUUAUAGUGUCGGCUGCUGUGUGCUCAGUAAAAUUCUUUAUCCAGCCCAUUUAUGAGAAAAAGCCUAUCCAGUUAAGCUGUUUUUUUGGGUUAAGUGUAGUAGAUCCUGCUAUCCAAAUGAUAGAUACAAAAAAAAUAAUGCUGAGAACAGUGGUAAAUGCUCUAUACUACCUUGCAGGUCUUUGCAGAUGCAUUGGUUAAAAAGGCGUAUGAUAAUUGGAUGCACGUUAUAGAAUAUGAUGGCGAGGCCCUUUUGAACUUCAGGCAGAGCAAGAAAACUGCUACGCGAAAUGAACAUCCAUCAGCUUCAAAAAACUGUCCUGCUUCAUAUGAUCAGCAAGCUUGUCAGCAGCAUAUGUCAACUACAGUUCCAGGAGAGCAUCCUGCAGUGGAUAGAGGAGUGGUUGCUGGAGGUAAUGAUUCUUUUUUUUUUUUACUUAUAAAUCCAACAAUUAGGUGAAUUGCUUAGCUCAUCUUUUUACGUAGGCUGGGAGUGACUUCCUAAUUCCUCAGAAUAGCCCCUUGUCUGUGCAGUAACCAUGAAAUGAUUAUUGUUUGAAUUGUAAUUUCAGCUGAUAAAAUGUUUUGAUUGAAAAAUGAAACUUAAUGCAUACUUCUGCGUGUGCUUCACUAAUAAAUGUAAUGGAGAACAUUUUUCUUUGGAUGUUCCAAAACGUAAAUUAAACUGACCCACUCUGCAGAAUUAGAACGCUGCAUGUUACUCCAAAGUUCAGUUUGCUGACUAUCAUAUAUGUUGUCCAGGAAAUGCAGCAUCUGCUGGGUACAAUGAGAACCAAGUGAACAGAUACUCUGCUCAUCCCCAACAUGUGGAUUCAAGUACCCAUAUGCAGUAUGAAAGCAAUUCAUUUGCCCCACAAAGUCAGUUCAAUGGAUCUUCUCAGCAAAUGCAAAUUACAAGAAAUGAUAGCACUGGGCUAGCACUGGGCCCACCUCAACAGGCAACCCUUGGAUUUCAGCCAUUGGGCCAGUCAAUACUGUCAGCAAACCUGAAUACUUAUGAUGACUGGUCUCGUCAACGGGAUGUCCAGGCUGUCGAAGAUUUUAAUCUCUCGGAGGAAGAGAUCCGCAUGAGAAGCCAUGAAAUACUAGAGAAUGAAGAAAUGCAACAAUUGCUUCGUGUUUUCAGCAUGGGUGGGGCAUCCACCAGUGUACCAGAAGAUGGAUAUGGUUUUCCAUCCUACAUUCCUUCUCCUUGUCCGAACUUUAACUUCGAUGAGGAUCGUAAUCGUUCAUCUGGUAGAGCUGUUGUUGGGUGGCUUAAGAUCAAAGCAGCUAUGAGAUGGGGCAUCUUUAUCAGGAAGAGAGCAGCUCAAAGGAGAGCUCAGCUUGUUGAGCUGGAAGAUUAGCAAAUGGAGUCAUGACAUAGUAGUCUUGGUGUCGUGUCAUACCUCUCAGAAUUAGUUAUCAGCAUUAAAUGCCUCAACUGUAUACCAGGGAGUGAUGAUGCAGACCUGGAGCUCUGGUUAUGUGACUCAUCACGGUUAGACUGCUUGUACACGAUUCUUGACUGUACAGUAGAGUAAGGUUGUUGUUUAGCUCUUCUGCUAUCAUGAUGUCCACCCAUAUGCUCUGAAAGAUCUUUAGAAACAGUGCACUAGUUUACUCAAGACUGUUAACUCUCUCUGUGUAAUGCCACUAAUAUAUAUUCACCAUAAGAUUGUUUUAAUUUAAAACCAUGGGAAUGUAACUCUAUAUUGUGUUGAAUAACUACAGCACAAUUUUCAGGGAGUGUACAUGUGCUGCUUAGCCUGAUGGUAUAAAAUCCAGGUGCUUGCAUAAUUUCAAGGAUACCAAGUAAAGCCUUCAGUAAUUUCCUGGCCGGUCUGAGAAUUACUUUGCUUUGUCCGGCCUGUCCUGCAGCUUUGGCAAAAUUUGUUGGAGAAGCUCAGUCAAGUGUUUGCGGGACCCAUCAAAGCUUUGCAAUGCACAUUAUAUUAAAUAGCGAUCUUUGUUCUUCACUGACGUUUACAUAUUUGAGUUUAAUUAUUGUUCGCUUGGCAAGUGACAUGAAGCAUCCUUUGUCAAGAACCACUUUAAGUGCCUUCCAGUAUGACACAUCUUGCUUGUUUCAGGUGUCACGGCCCAUUAAAUGCUUAAACUGGAGAGACAAAAUUUUGCUAGAUUUCUUUUAUUUAAUUUUUGACAUUCGUUAUGAUGCAAAUGAUGCAUUAUAUGUGACACUUAAAUAAUUAUUAUAUUACAAUGUAAAUGAAAUUUUGAUUCUUUAAAUAUCAACAGCAUAUGGGUCAAGGCAUGGAAAAGAGUCCGUGGUUCUUCAUCGAAAUAACAUAGUAUAUAACUUGAGUGAAUGAAUUGUGUAGUGGAUAAAGGGCAUCAUUUCUGCUUGCAAGUCCCUAUGAUCUUGUUGAGGGAGCUUAGUCUGUUAGUGUGGGUUUUCCCUCCUUCCUGUUUUUAACACAUGGUAAUUCUGCUAACAGGAAAAGAAAAGAUGCCAAACUAUGUACAUCAAUGUGGUCAAUGUAAUAAGUGAGGUUGCUUACCGUGAAUGAAGUGAGUAAAAAGCUUAUCAGACAAGAAUUGGACAUUGACCUGGCCAAAACUUAACCAUUAGUCCAACCAUCAGAUCAACUGGUCGGAUCCCAAACGUUUAAAAAAUAAAAUAAAUGAAAAUAGUUUUAUAUAUGAUAAAAUAAAAUAUAUUUUAUCAUGGUAAUCGUACAGGUCAGAUUCCACUAAUGGUUAAGAAAUUUAAACCUGGCAGGUCCCGGGUCAAAUGCAGUCCGAUCUUAUUAGAUGUCAAAAUUGGAUCUGAACUUGGUUCUCUAGUUUUCCUCUCCAACUGAUAUAAGCCAUGGGUGAUUCUUUUUUCCUGAAUUAAAUGGUGACAAGCCAUAUCAUGAAAUUAAUAAAUUAAGAAAUGAAGAUCAUAAGAGAAAAACAAAAAUAGAUAAAAAAAAAAAGGAAAAGCAUGAGUGGAUAUUUUUAUUUCGUUGAGUAAAGUGCCGUAUUAUGAUUUUUUUUUUGAUAAACCAUAUUAUGACAAUGGUAAAUGAGACGAGACAUGAACAUAUCAUAGAAAAAAAAUAUAUAUUUUUUUUAAGAAAAGGGAGAGGAAAGAAAGGAGCUGGUACAAAAUCAUGUUCAAUCCAAACAUCAAGCCAUCAGUGACAUUGCAGUGCAAAUUUGAAGAGCCAAGGAGACCCACAGAUGCCAACGAUGUGCUGUGACUCUGUACUUGACCUGGACCAGCCAAUCCCGCUUCGAACAUGACCCCAACGCGUCAAUCUAUGGGUUGGGUAUGACUACUAGGUCAGACACAUUUGAAAACUUUGGGUUGGGUCUGGGCCCAAGGUUUAGACCCGACCCAACAUGGCCCGGUCCCUACUAAUCACCCAGUUCACCUGUGCCUAUAUAUAAAUAGAGGUGACGGUUGUCUGGAUCCAGAUAUAAAUAAAAAUCUAAUGAUUCGGUUACUAUUCAUAUCGGUGUCCGUAUCUGUCAAGGAAAAAUAGUUAUGAUAUUGAUAAACAACAAUCCAAGUAUAUCUAAAUAUCUGAACCUAUUUAUAAUUUUAUAUAAUAUUUAUUAUUUUUUUAAAAUAUAAUCAUAUAAAUUUAUUAUUAAAUUAAUUUAUAAUUUAUUUAAUAAUAUUUUUAUUUAUAUAAUUAUAAAACUUAAUUAUUUAAUUUAUAUCCACACUUAUGAUAUCUAUCCUAUCCGGUUUCAGAUAUCCAAAUUUUUAAUGGGUCAAAUCAAAUUUAUGUGAUAUAUUUCCUUAAAAAGGAAGUAGAGGCACGCGUAUGGAAGGAAGCACGCCCGGUGGGACUCGAACCCACAAUCGCCUGAUUAGAAGUCAGACGCCUUAUCCAUUAGGCCACGGGCGCAGUUAGAACACUUAGGAAUGUUAACUAUAAUAAUUCUUUGUUCUCGAAAUUCCUCCCUAUCGUUCUUCCCCCGCGAGAACGCUGGAGAUCUUCCCGUCUCCACCCUCUCGCCUCUUAUUUCAGCGUGCAGAGGCAUUUUCAGGAUUCACUAUUUCUACACUCAGCCCUUAUGCCCUUCCACAGAUUUUAUUCAUUUGCAUUACUUAAAUAGCAUUACCUUCUUUCUAUUUCUGCGGAGUUAGCUGGUAAUCAUAUAUCCUGCACUUCAAAUUUCAUUGGAUGAUCCCAUUGAGAAGUAUAUGCCUUAUCCUGAGUAGUUAAGGCAUUGUUAGAGGGAGGAAGAUAGCUCUUUUGUUAAUGGGUAAGAAUCAUAUUUUAAAGACAAAUCCAACCAGCUUAUGAUGAAUCUGGAAUGCAAGCUACCAUAAUUAAGAUUACAAUUGGAAAUUGUUAAUUUUUCGUGCUGUCAUAAUUUUAUGACAUAAAAAUGUACCUAUAUUUCAAAUUCAAAAGCUAUCUAAUUAUUAAAAUGAAAAAUCGGUUUUGGCUAGUUUUGUUAUAAAUUGUUCUUCAACAUUUUAACAGUUGGAUGCGCCUCUUUUGACAAUGAUGAGGGAUCCUCCACCUUGUGUAACAACCUUGGCAUCCAUUGGUCGGGUCAUCGAUCUACUCCUGUAGAAGAUAUAUAAAAUGGCAGUAGUUGUAAGAAAUAGCAGUCCAUAUGAAACCAGUUACAGCUCAAGUUCAAGGACUGGAGGAGUUUUCACAUUGAAAGAGCUGGCAAUGAUUGCAUCAGAUAUUCAGAAACCUUUUAGAUGUAGAAUAUUUACCAAGCAACCAAAAAAAAAAAAAAGCCCUUGAAUGUAGUUCCAAGUAUAUUGAUCAAUGAUUUGAGUUCUUUCAAAUGCGUUCAAUAGUUUCUUGCGUUUUCCUGUCAUGGCAUGUAUAAAGAUGUGAGAUGAAUAGCACAUAAUUUUCAGAGAAUUAUAGGAGAAUGUAUGCAGAGUUUUCACGAUGAUCAUAGUGACUGUGUGACAGAUAUCAUCCUUAUCAUGCAAGCUAAACGAAUUUUAGAAAUUCUUGGUGUAACAGGGCUUUCGCAAACUUUAUUGGUGGCAAGAUUGCGUAUGGCUGGCAUAAACUUGAACUCCAACACUGAUAUCAUCCAGGAGGUUCCCCCACUGUUAAGGACAAUAUAUGGUAGUCAGGGAUGAUGGGGUAUUGUGGAGGAGAAAUAUAUUUGGAUGGCUUGUGAAGGAAAUUAAGGGCUUUUCUGGGAAAUUUAGCAAGAUUGGACUAGAUUUCCUACAAAAAUUUAAUCAGUUGGCCGAUCCAGCCUAUAUUCUUCUAACAGCCUGUUUUAAUUUUAUCCUGAAUACCAUAUGUGGACCUGUUGGCCUUCAGAAAGCGGCAAAAAAAGAAAAAAAAGAAAUCUUCAUAAGUCUUUUUUUUUUUCCUCCUACAGAAUUUUUGGGCUAGAGAGAUACCCGACUGAUAUUGGUAUAUCCAAAUAGACUACCUAUUCAAUGAAUACAACUGAAAAUCAAUUUAUCUGUGUCCACUGAUGUGGAUGUCACGACGAAAUUGAGCAGAUCCAUUAGGAGGCCUCGUUCUAAAUUAAGCUAAAUUUUAACCCGAAUUUACUUUUGGCCUAAGGUUUUGAUUCAAAUCUGACCCAUCAUUUCACUGAUCUGGGUCGAGUCCCAAUUCUUUGUUCUUGGGUUUAAGGUGGUGAGGCAAUAAUCAGGAUUUUGAUCUAAUUUCCGCAAAGUCAAAUCUAGUUCAUUCAAGUUUGUUCAGUAACCCAAUUGCUAGUUAGUUUCUGAUCUGGGAUCUAAUUUAGAAUCCAUGCCCAGGCCGUAAGUUUUAAGCAUGUGUUGAAUCCAAGUCAGAUAGGGCCAGACCCUGCUCUACCAUGACCACUUGCACAUCACGUAGGAUAAUGGUAAGUUAAUGCAGUAAAAAUGUGGUCGAUCCGACUGUGUGAUUUGUGGUUUGAUGGCUUUUGAAGUCUCGAACAAGGUUAGGGGUGACUCUGGUCCACAGCUGGAAGUGGGCUCAUGCCUUGGCCAGAAAAGAUACGGUCUGAAGUCCAAGGUUUGAAUGAGUUUUGGGAUCGUACGGCUCCACUGCAUCCGUCCUCUUGCUGCGUCCGCCCACCGCCUCUCAGAGGACUCGUGUCCUUCACGGCAUGGCCGGAGAUGAGCCACUGGAGAGGACCGUGCGGCUUCAUUGGAUCCACCCUCUCGCCACGGCCGUCAGUGCCCGGUCCGCCGCCUUCCGAACGGCUAGGCCACUGCAUCUACUACAUCGAUUGGCCAUCGGAGAGGAUCGCAUGGCUCAGGCCACUACGUCCACCCCCUUGCCAGGGCUGCCAGCGCUCGAAGACACCCCAUAGAGCGUGACAGAGAGGAAAAGGGCUGGUCUUGGCUCCCAUGAAGUGUUUCAGACCGCUGGAGUACGGUGCUUAUUAUAUAGUGGGGUUGGCUAUUUAAGACGGUUAUUGGAGACGGCUCGAGCUGUCACUAUGGUUUCUAUUAGAGACGGCUAAGCCGCCUUUAAAAGAUAUUAAUUAAUUUUUAAUUUAGUCAUCGGCGAACUAUAGGUGUAGAGGAGAAACGGCGACAGAAAAAAUCAUCACAGAAAAAUAUUAAAUAAUUUUUUAAUUAGCUGUUACCGUACUGUCUUUAAAAAUUUAUUUAUUUUUUAAAUCUUCGAUAGCUAUGCAUCUCUGGAAACCCAACCAUCUCUAAUCCAUCUUUAUACUAUCUCUAGUAUUUAAUUAAAAUAAAAAAAUUUAAUUAUCAUCUCAAGGCCGUAUCAGUUGACCAUCAUAGAAGACCGCUGUCUCUAAGCCAUCUCAGUAUCAUCGGCAAAAAUAAAUUUCUAAGGCUGCUUUUUACCCGUCUCAAAUAAACCAUUUCUAAAGCUAUAUUUUUCUUGUAGUGUGCGGAUACUGCUGUCCACUCUUGCAAUUCCACCGGACCCAUAAAGUGGACCUAUUAUCUCUUUUGGAGUUUAGAUUCUCUACAGUUCGGGAUUGAACCAGGAAAAUCCAUGCUUACCUUUUUUUUUUUUUUUUUUUUUGGUGUGUGUCCCGGAAGUUUCGAGUUUGGCAUCGCAUUUUUGUCGGUGGAUUGAGACCUGGGCAUCAACAAUCCUGUCCAUUUCCAAGGUGGGUGACAUGUGGUCCAUUCAAAUGUGCAUACACCAAUCUUUGUGGUGUGAAACAUAUACUGUGAAAUAUGACGAUUGACGAUUAUUGUGUACUAUAUAUAUAUAUAUAUAUAUAAGAAAAGUAUUCGNNNNNNNNNNNNNNNNNNNNNNNNNNNNNNNNNNNNNNNNNNNNNNNNNNNNNNNNNNNNNNNNNNNNNNNNNNNNNNNNNNNNNNNNNNNNNNNNNNNNNNNNNNNNNNNNNNNNNNNNNNNNNNNNNNNNNNNNNNNNNNNNNNNNNNNNNNNNNNNNNNNNNNNNNNNNNNNNNNNNNNNNNNNNNNNNNNNNNNNNNNNNNNNNNNNNNNNNNNNNNNNNNNNNNNAUUAUUGUGUACUAUAUAUAUAUAUAUAUAUAUAGAAAAGAUUCGAUCCGUCAUGUAAGAUAUUGUCCGCUCUGAUUCAUACAUCUCAUAAUUUUGUCCUUUAAAAGAUACCUCACGUAGGAAGAAUUUUUUCCUCCUUAUAAAUGUGAAUCUCUUUUGACUCACAAUCGAUGUGGGACUAUUGGUGCCCUCCAUAUUAUUAGAACCACAACAGAGCCCUCCGAUCAAGAAAGACUCCGAUGUAUAUAGUCUGAGGAGCUCCACAGUCAGUCAAAGCGGACCUCAGCUCUAGAGAAUCGAAGCGGACCUCGACUCCUAUCUGACGCGCCAUUAUUGCGGACAAAGAUUUGGCCCGUCACGUGAGAUAUUGUCCGUUCUGGUCUAUGGGCUUCAUGAUUUUGUCCUUUAAAAGAUGCCUCACGUCGGAAGAAUUUUUUCUUCUUUAUAAGCACAAGUCUCUCUUAACUCACAAUCGAUGUGGAGUUAUUGGUGUCCUCCAUAUUAUUAGAACCAUAUAUAUAUAUAUAUNNNNNNNNNNNNNNNNNNNNNNNNNNNNNNNNNNNNNNNNNNNNNNNNNNNNNNNNNNNNNNNNNNNNNNNNNNNNNNNNNNNNNNNNNNNNNNNNNNNNNNNNNNNNNNNNNNNNNNNNNNNNNNNNNNNNNNNNNNNNNNNNNNNNNNNNNNNNNNNNNNNNNNNNNNNNNNNNNNNNNNNNNNNNNNNNNNNNNNNNNNNNNNNNNNNNNNNNNNNNNNNNNNNNNNNNNNNNNNNNNNNNNNNNNNNNNNNNNNNNNNNNNNNNNNNNNNNNNNNNNNNNNNNNNNNNNNNNNNNNNNNNNNNNNNNNNNNNNNNNNNNNNNNNNNNNNNNNNNNNNNNNNNNNNNNNNNNNNNNNNNNNNNNNNNNNNNNNNNNNNNNNNNNNNCUACUAUAUAUAUAUAUAUAUAUAUAUAUAUAUAUAUAUAUAUAUAUAUAUAUAUAUAUAUAUAUAUAUAUAUAUAUAUAUAAGGUAAAACUUCAGUGCAAAACAAUGAUUCCAUCCAUCACUGACUAUAAUACGACUAAAAGGGAUCCCAGCACAUAGCAGCCCUCCCAGAGAAAUUAUUGUCUACUCUACGUACACUUCGUGGUGAUGCAUAUAGCCAAUUAUAGCCAUAAUUUCUAUAGGUUCUUUUUUUUUUUUUUUUUUUGAGAAAUAGAAUAGCAACAACCAUCUAAUUAUAUUGAAAGAACAGAGUUUUAUAUGAGCUAUUUACAAAUAAAAAGGAAAAGUUUUAACCGUGCUCCUUGAGGUGAACCAAUUAAACAAUAGGGAUCCAAGGUAUCUGCACAAAUGCAAAAGAUAUAGAAGAAGAAGAAGAGGAGGCAUCUUAGAUUUCUGCUUGAUGAAGAAAAAAAUUAUCCCAAUCUAUUUAUGGGAUAGUGGUAGAUCAGUAUUUUCUGUAGCUGAUCAUGACUAUCUAGUAUCCUCGAUAGGUACAAAUGCUUCAAAAAAAUAAAAGAAAUGUAAGAUUUUUUGAAGAAUAGAGUAAGCAAAACUUAUUUUUCUAAUUUUUUUUAAAUCUGCUGAUUCCAUUCAUCAAGCAUGCAUUUGGGGUCAUCCUUACGGAGACCAGCGGUUGUAAUUAGCUGUAUACAUAGUCACGCUGGUGUAUGCAGUAUAGACAAUAACUCCUCCCUUUUAUGACAUGUUUGCACCAGGGACUUGCAUCGUGAUAGGAGCGGAGGUGUCCUAAGCAUUGUGCUUCUAAAGUAUAAGGCCAUGAUGGAACGAGGUCAUUGGCAUCAAAAACAUCUCCUUGCUUUAGGGUCAUGUCGAGGGGCGGGCCCCUUUUAUUUUUGUAAUGGAAAAUCUUGAUUGAGGUUCUCUCUCAUCCUGGUGGGCAAUGGAAGAUUAAGACCUCCAACUGCGUAUCUCUAAUCUUGUUUGGCCUUUUAGUAGCUUGCUUACAGGACUCGACCCCUCUAGCCGACACGACUUUCUCUAGUAACGAGGGCAUUGGUUCCAUCAAGUCCCUUUCAGAAAGAUCAGAUCAUAUUUAUGCCGUUUCUGACUUGUCCAUCCUACCUAUCCUCGAAUGAACUGUUGGCCUCAAGAAUCCUUUCAUGGCAGCUCCACUCGAGCUAGGUCUCCACUCCAACCUUGCGCCCGGAACCUAUUAAUGCCUCAAAUCUUGACGGGAUGCAACCAUAGGAUCCAUGACCACACGCAUUUACAAGAUUCGGCAUCUAAAAGCGUGAUUAGAUGAGAAGUUUGACACUUAGAUUAUCAGAGAUCCGGCAAUGUCGGAAUGGAUUCUCUUUGGUGUUGGAUCGAUGUUUCCUAGAUGAAGUUGAAGUGGAAAUAAGACUAGCACUUGGUAAGUUCUUAGAUUUUGAGCCGGACAAAAAUUUAGAUAUAUAGUCGCUUUGAAGGAGAAAUCAAAUUCGAAGACUAUACGUCAUAAAAAUCUCGACAACUGCUCAAACUUUCUAGCUCUAAUUGCUUUUGUCGAUCUGAAUUUGAUUUCCUUUGUCGGCAAAACACGUAAGGUUUGUGGAAAGAUGCAACGUGUGUCGACUUGUUGGAGAUGCAUAGGAUUCAUCAGCAUCUAUUCAAGCAACACACCUACUCGUGAAAGAUGCUCCCGUGUUGAAAUCUAGGCCAACAACUUUCACCUGUACAAGCUCUAAGCUAUGGCACUGAGUUUUUGUUUUACAUUAAAAAGAGCAAACUGUAAAUGAUGUCUAGAAGAUGAUGGGAUCAGAAUAUUUCAUUAUAUUAGCAAACAUUAAAAGUCCAAAGGCACUCAGAGAUUCUUUUGCAUUGAAAGGAUGCCGACUAGACGGUAGUCAUAUUUAUGUUUGUUAGGUGGUAAAGUGUGGGAAUUUAUUGGCAAGUCCUAAUCUUAAUUUUUAUUUAGCUGGUUAUUAAUUCUAAUAACUUUAGGUUUUAAGUCCACGUUAAGUCAUAUCUUAGCUUUAAUAUAUUUGAGUAUGUUUUUUAGUUAAAAAGGGAUGGUGAUAUUUUUGUCAUUUAGUGGCAAAUGGUGAUACUUUUCUUUUUUUAGUAGGAGAAAGAGAAUGGUGUUACUAAGAGGGGGAGAGUGAUGUGAAGAGAGUUGAAGAAAAAUUUUUGGUGUGAUGAGGUGUUUUUAAAAGUGAGACCGAACUCAUUAUUUUUUAUCUUUAUUUUUUUGAAUAAUUUUUUCUAUCAAUUUUUUCAUCCACAACUGUUGCUUGAUUUAAUUAGUGAUUAUUUUGAAUCCUGAGUUGGCACGUUUAAUCUACAUAGAGUAACAUGCCAUUUUACAUGGUACCAUAGAGUGGUUGGAAUGUGGUCAAGCACUGUGCAUCUUCGAUUUGAUUUUUUGGAGCAUAAUUUCUGAGCAACAAUUUGAUUGUUAGUGAUUUUGAAGGUAGUUAUUCAACUUGGUUAUUGUAAGUUUGUGCAAAUGUAUGAACUCUCUUAUAGUUCAAUUUUCAGAUCAUAAUGGUUGAGUUCAUCAAUAUCAAUAUUUUUUGAUUUCACCAACAUCAACAAGGUUGUUUUUGUUACUACCACUUGUCUUCAUAAAUAUUAUCCAAUUUGGAAGUUCAAUUUGAUAGGAUAAAAUUUGUGGGAUAUUUCAGAUGAGUUAGAGAUGAUGUCAAUAGGUACUCUAAAUAAUGAGCUUGUGAGAAGAAAUUGGAAUCUAAAAUUUAGAAAAGUGAUGUGGAUUCUCCAAGGCUUCAAUGGAUAGAAUAAAUUAUGCCCACAUCCAAGAUAUAAAGGAUCCAAAGAAAGUAUGCAUAUUCUUAUAGCCGCCUAUUUAAGUUCCAGUAAGAUGAGACAUCUCAAAUAAAAAUUAUCUGAAUUAUGAAAUUUGAUUCCAAUCUUCCCCAAAAUCCAAAUUAAAAGAAGAGUAGAAAUAGUUUAAAGCAAGAGAAGCUUGACCAGUUCCAGGUUGAAUCGAGUUUAGAAGAAAUUCUAAAAUAUAGCAAGAUUGAUCGGCUCAAGAAUUAAUUAGUUUAGGAAGAAAAUCUAAAGCAAGAGGAGCUUGAUUAAAUAGAUGUUGCAUCAAAUAUGCAGGGAUUGUUUUUGAAAAAUCUAUUGAUUUUGAAAUUUCUUAGAAAGGGUCAAUGGAUGUUGUAGUUGAUCUAAUUAUAGGGAUAUAUAUUGAAGGGUCAAAUCAUGUAGAAGAGACUUUUGUUAAAACUAUCAACUAUGUGGAUGUUUAUUGAAGUGAUCUAGUCAGCCAUGAGAAUGAACGACCAACUAAUUUUAAAGUAGUUUUGGAGAUUAAGCAAUAAAAAGAUAUACCUUGUGUUGAUGAAUCAUGUUGCAUCUUAGUAUUCAAUAAAUUUUUAGUGCACCAGUUAAUUUUGAAACUACUUCAUAGCUCAAAUAGUGAAAAUAUACUAGGAUUUGAUUUUAUGUAUAGAAACUAGGUGUAUACGAAUAUAUGUGCUGCUUAAUUGGAGGCAUGUGAAUGUAAUAAAAAAUAUUUAUUGAUUUUAUUUAUUUCUAGAUAAUGGUGAAUGCUUUAGUGAGUAGUAAAUACAAUUGAAAAUUUGAUAUUUGAUGAGAUAAGCUGGAUGCUUGAUGGAGUCUCAGCAUAGUGACGAUGAAGUCAAUACUGAAAGGAAGUAUUGGAAGAUAUCAUCAAUUUUGAUACAUGUAUCAAAGGGGAUGAGCUAAUGAAUGAAUUAUUCUUCAAGCUAAUAAAAGAAACUACUGUUGCCUAGAGAUAGUGAGCUAGGAGGAGGUUGAAUUGGAUUCUUUAAAAGUUUAAAUUAAAUAUAUGUUCUUAGAUCAAGUUUCAAGUAUGGUUAUGAAGUGCUUAAAGAAGGAUAUAAGUCAGAGUGGAAAGUAAAUACAAAAUAAUCAUAUAAAUAUAAAUACACAAAGAUUUAUAGUGGUUCAAUGCCAAACUCAGUAUCUACAUCCGCUCCUCAAGUCUCUGUAUUUAAGAAUCUCAAUUAUAAUCAUUUCUCAAUUACAGUUCGAUUAUUUUUUUGGGCUUAAAAUCACAUCCUGUUAGUUUUGCUCGGGUUCACCAACCACAAUCUUUCUAACUAAGUCUCUAAGACUUAGUUAAAUGCAAACAUCUAAUUAUGGACUUGAAUCGGCCUUAAUCUCCAAAUUUCUAACCCCAAUAAACUCAUUACAAUAUAAAGAGUAUAAAGAAUGAACAAUUUAAAGCAUAAAUAUAAAAACUCUUUGAAGCUUAGGGAAGUCGGUGAUGAAGCAUCUUAAAUGCUUUUGACUUUCUCUUUGAUUGCUUGAGAGAAUGCUUUGAAUGAUUACUUAAUUAGCCGGUAGCUCUCACAAUGCAUCCAAUAAGGUUCUCUUCUCAAUUGAAUUAAAUACUAGAAGAUGGCAAUUGAUUGCUAUCUUGAGUUCUCCUUUUUUUUUAAUAUUUUAUACUUAGAUGUAUUCUCUAAUUAAAUUUUUUACUGUUUUAUGUUUUCACCUUGAGACUAUUCUGGGAUCAACUCAUAUCCUGCUAGAAUUGACUAGAGCUCUAUUGGGGUUGACUCGAGAUGUAUUGGAGUCGACUCUUGGAAUAUCCUAAAUUUAUCACUCUUUAUCUAGCAUCCUGAGACUGUUUUAGUCGACUCGAGUUUUAUUGGGAUCGACUCGUGAACUAUGUUAAUCUUCUUUAGGCAUACCAGAGUUGGCUCUUAAUAUCUUGAAGCCGACUCUUCUCCUUCAUCCUUUGUCAAAAGCUUAACUUAGAAGACUUUUUUUUUGAAUAUUUUAGAGAGGGCCUCUUGAUUUCAUGUACAACCUUUGAGCAUUAGACAAAUCGCUAUAGUUAUUCUCUCAAGCAUGCGUUAGUAUUAAUUAUACUCAAGCAUUUUAUCAAUCCUUAGAUUAACAACUGCAUUAUUUAGUUGUUGGUUCAACAGAUUAUUGCAUAUUGUUGUUACUGUGGUAAUAACAGUAACAGCUACUAUGGUGUUCCAUGAUAUCGUUAAAUUCAAUAUUAUUGAUAUAGACUUCACAAUAGCGUGUGUUGAGAUUUAUCAUCAAGUCCUAAUCUCAUUAGAAUUUUUGAGAGAGUGAUCUGAAGAGAGCCGAUGAGAAAUUUUUUUGAUAAGAUGAAGGAUGUUUGAGACUAGGAGCCAAAAAAACUCAUUGUUUUUGGUCUUUAUUUUUCUUUUGAAUAAAUUUAUUUUUUCCCUCAAACUUUUUUCUUCUACUACUAUUAUCUGAUUUAAUUAGUAAUUACUCUGGAUCCAGAACCAACACAUUUGAUCUAUACAAAGUAGCAUGCCAUUCUGCAUAAAGAUCACAUAAGAAAGACAUUGACUUAGAGAUGCAUCCUUUUGAAACAGAUGACAUAGAGAUCUAUCAAGAUAGAUGGACAGAAGUGGUAGAAAGGUAGAAUUAUGUAGUACGAGUUGCUGAAGGAUGCCCAAGAUCUUAAACUCUCUCGCAUAAACUCUCCUUUCUUUCUUGUCUUUUACCCUUCUUCUUGCUCCUAGAUAUAUAAUAUAAAUUGCUAUAUACUUCUAAUAACUGUAUCCAUCUCUCAGAGAUCCAUCUUUCAAGAUCGCUAUAUCAUAUAAAUUUUUCUUGCUCUAUUUUUCAAGAUCAGCAUUUAAUUUUCCAAGCCCUAAAAUCUCAAAAUUUGUAUUCAAAUCCUUCCUGUUAAAAAAAAAUCAAAUAUCGUUUCAUUGGAAGAAAUUGUAAAUACCUAAAAUCUUAUCCGUUUCAAUUUCCGAAAUAUUAUAUAUAUAGAGAUUUGAUUCACUCCAAAGAACUACUAUUUUUUAUUAUGGGGUCUGGUUUCCAUGAUUGUAUAAAGCUGACCAACGGCCGCUCCACUUAAGCACCUUUGGGAAAAAAAUCAUAUACAAUCAAAACGCCCCUCACCUUCUCUUUUGCCAGCCAGAGAUCACCACCACCCGUGAGAGUCCAAUCAUUGCUUGUUAGCAUUGGGAUAUACCCACCAGGCAUCCCCUUUCCAACCUCCGGCCCAUUUGAUGUAAAAAAUUUCGUAGACUCGCAGCGUCGAUCUAAGUUGUUGGAGAUCAAAUAAGAUGGAACUCCAUAUCGAAACAGCAGAAGAAGCAAAGAUACAGAUUACAUGCAACAGGAGUCUGCAUUCUGUCCUCAGACAUCAGCACGCACCUCCACUGGGAAAAAAGGGAGAACUUUCUUCUGUUUCCACAGUAGUAGGACAUCUUUUUUGAGAAUCACAGUAGUGGAAUAUCGAUAACAGAACAGACUACAUAUUAAGCUAAUCCACACCCUUGUUACACUCGAACUUGUGCAAUCCAACAUUGUCAUGUUAAAAAAAAAGUCUUCUGAUCACCAUCAUAGCGUCUCUACUUCCCUUCCAUUUGACCUCCAGGGCCAUUCUAUAUAGUCUACACAUGCAAAUAACUAGUCAAAAGGAAAAAUGGAAAACAAAGUGUUUGAUUGACUUGAAGCAAAGUACCUCCAGAAGCUUCGUUAUAAUACGGUGCACUCCAAAUUAAGAGAGAAAAAUUAAAGGAAGACAGGAGUAAUGAGAAGCAAAAAGAGAUCGAGCACAUGUCAUAGCCUUAGGGACAAGUCGAUUCCAUCAGCCAGCUCUCUUUUAUCAUCUGAUUCCUUGCGACUCCCCAGCCUUAUCGACGCCCUUGACGCCUCCCGGCCUCGUGUGGCCAACCCCACUCCAUUAUAGCAGCACUCCUCCCUUUGUCUCUCCACCAAGACAACGGUCGAAGUAUGCUGGCCGAUGGUGGAGCCUGCGUGCGGGCGGAGGGCCGUGGCCAGUUCCCAGCUCCUCUUGGCAAGGCUCCUCUCGAGCUUGUGCGCAUUCUGAUGGCCCCCAAGAGCUUGCGAGCUGUAGAACUUUUUCUGGCAGUAGUUACAAGAGAAGACUCGGGCCGGCUCGGGCGGGGACGAUGGCUGGAGGGCUAGAUCAAGGUUAAGCUCCGGGUUCUCCGGUUCCAUGUCCGUGGACGGACUUGGGGGAAGACAGAAGAGGGGAAGUGGAUGGGCUUGCGAGUAUGGGUAUUCUAUCAAGAGAGGUGAGGAUGUGGUUGGUUAAUUAGCUUGAUGAAAUAUAAGCUAGGAUAUGGAAGUAACGGUCUGCUGCUCCCCUGGAACACAAUAGGGGGAAACCGGGGCAAGGACCAGGGUCUGGAGAAAGAUCAGCAAGUGGAGCGGGAUCGAAGGGUUGUCGCCACCAUUUAUGGCAGCAUUUGGUGGGGUGCGGUGUGUAGUAACAGAUGCGCUGAUCCUGCUUCUCAACUUGCUAGCUGUUUCUUUCUUCUCUACCGUGCGCUCUGUGUGUGUGUGUGUGUGCUGUUCAAAAAGAUGCCAUGGGAUGGAGCAAGAGUUUUAGAAGGUAGAUCACACGUAUCUGUGAAUAGUCACUUGAGGAUGUAAUGCAGGGGGGGGACCGAGGUGUGGUGCAACAACGGUAGCAUGAAGGAUGGUUCUACCAAAAUGAAUAUGUGACACUUAAACCUGAGCACGUUCGGUCGGUCACAUCCAUCAUUUCCUCUAGAGAUCACCUUCCUUACAUUAGAAUGCAUGGUUUAGAAAUGUAGGUAAAUUUUGUUUUUAAAAAAAUGUGAAUGGAAUGAAUUAAUAGUUUAGGCUUGCAGAUGUUAUUUACAUGCAAAAAUUAAUAUAUCUUGAUCGACUAUAUAUGGUUAACAGUAUAUAUUGAUUUGGGUUUUGAUGCAGCAAAGUUGGAGAGAUUAUUGUUAGCCACUUGUCGUUAUGAAAGAACCCCAUUUGGAUUUGGAAGGCUAAUUGGUAGAAUUAACGACUAGUGAAAAGUUGUCGACUAGUGAGUUAUUUCUGCAAGGAACCGCUUGUAAUCGCUAAGGAGGGAGUUAUCCAGAUUUGAGACUAUUCGAAAAAGAAUAAUUAAUUUCCUAAAAAAAAGACAAUUAUUACCGGAAAUAACUACCUUUCUCCCUGAUAAUUAAAGAAAUAAGAAGCCCUCAUUUGCGCAUGAUCUCACUCUCGGCUAUGGUAGCCAUGUAUUUCAAAAUUGGCAUCGGGAUCAGGAUCAAGCCCCUAUGCGAAAGAUCUACCCAAUCUGGACCUUUUUUCUUUGUCAUUCCCAAAUAUAUUUUAUUGCUCCAUUUUAUGUGAUGGAUUAAUUGUAUCACACUAUUAUUUUUAUAGUGAUGAUUGCUAUGCUGAUUUGGAUGAUCGUUAUAGUGUGAAUGAUGACGGUUAGCUGGCUGGAUAUUAUUAACCUAAAGUAUUACAUAAUUUGUGGAAGACCGUAGGAAUUCCCUAAAUACGCUGCCAAAAUUAUACAUCAACCCCUAUAUCACAUUGCACAUUAUAAAUCUCAUUGACAAGGCAUGAAAAAGAGGCCAUAACUCUCAUUGACGAUGGAAGAGAAAAAAUUGAAACAAAUUAAUAUUUGGAUGCAGAUCACGAGCAUAGGAUAUGUGUUAGAUGCACAUCAGGUGGCAAGAGUUCAAAUCUUUGUGGAGGAAAAUGGUGAAGAGGGGCGCCACCAGGCAGGACGAGUUAAGGCAUCAAAGCCAUUUACAUCUAUGCACCAAAGUACGCUGGAGCCAAGCAUGCAAAGGCGUGUACAUAAAAAAUUCUGAGCUAUGUGCCUUGCUAUCAGGUUAAUCGGCAAGAGUCAAGAAGAGUAUAAACGAGAGUGAGCAGAGGCCCAUACAGAGACCAUUAUGAGAUAUAUUAUUAUUAAAAGAUUCUUGGCUUGAAAAACUGACUUUAAUCAUGCAAGCAAUGUUUUAGUGGGAUAGGCUUUUGAUGAUGAGAUAUUUUACUUUACAUGGCACCUGCUUACAGAUCAAUGAAUAGGGUGAGAUACGUGAUACUCCAAGACAGUAGUGUGAUUUAAGUGUGACCACAAAAAGUAGCAUCAUGCUACUAAACUCUUGUAAAUCAAACGCAAUUAAGGUUACGUUUGGUAAGGAGAUAAGUUUGGAGGGAUAUCUCUUGACGGUGGAAGGGCUAGAAUUUUUAUGGGAUAAGUCUUCUUUCGAUGUUUGGUUGGAGGGAAAAUUACAGAAAAAAAAAAUAUGAAUGCAUUGAUUUUUGCAAUUAUAUUUGAAUUUGUCAUAAUGAUAAAAUUGUUGUCUUGCUUUUUGGUAUUUUUAAAGAGUGAAUAAAGAUAAAAUUUUAAUCAGAGGGAAUAAGUUUCCUCUAUUUGGCGGGACUAAUCUAUUCCGACAAAAUGGUGGAAUAGAAUUAUCCCUUCCCUCUUCUAACUUUUGCACUUCUUGAGUAAACCUAUUCCGGGAUGCUUUUGAGGAUAUUUCCUCUAACUAUCCUCGUAUCAAUAAAAAAAAGAAAAAAAAAAACCUCGUAUCAACUAAGAUGAUCGAUGUGAACCUCUGAACUUUCUGAAUGAAACUAGUAGCUAAUUGGUCGUAGAUUAAAAGGACAUGUCAACCAUCUCAGCCAACACAAGGACGAGUAGAUGAGAUUCGAGAGGAUAAAAAGUGAAAGUCAAAUGAUUAAUUUGAGUUGAUAGUGUUGGUUCCAGGAAUCUAAGGUUGUUCUUAGUCUUCACAUCUUUUUUCAGCUAUGAUGGUCCAUGGAGUUUAUUCUAUUCUUGCUGGAGAAGAAGAAGUUUGUUUCCUGGUUGUACGUACUAGACAAACCUAAUCCCCACAUGUAUUGUACGUGUAUAUCACCCACAGAAUGGAGAAGAUUAUACAACUAAGCUAGGCCUUGAAGAUUCAAUACCAACCGGUUCUUGGAUGAGGGAUCGAGGAGCACACAUUAUGCCGACCAAAAAGGUCUGUAUAUAGUUAGUGUCUAUUUGUUUGUUUGUUUAUUUGUUUGUUACUGAACAAGAGAAAAAAGUUGCACUAGUUUGACAAUUACGUCUGAUAAGACGCAUCAUCAGCAGAAAUCAAUCUCAAGUACCAUCCCUCAUCUCUCUAGUUCCUUGAGUGGGGAGAACAGAGUUGAUCAUAGUGCGUGUCGCGGUUGCAACCAAUGAAUGCAGUUGCACUGAACUCAUCCGACACGGGUUGGAGCAUGCAGCUAAUGUCUCGAGAGCUUUGUGAAGGUGAGAAGAAAAGAAACAGCGACCUUGUACCAUCAUUAAAGUAGAAGCGGUCCGAGUGGGGCUAAGGGUGCCAUAGCUGGCGCUCGUUGUGGCAGUCCCAUAGUACAGUACUCGUGUCUGGGAAAUGAAACCGACGGAUGCGAGCCUGUGGUGGUUGGAGCAAGAACGGAUCUUGUGCAGUGCGCAUGACAUUGUAGGAUACCAUGCAAUUAUGGAUGAUUAUCAUUGAGAGAUGGAGGACCUUUAAAUAAAACAGUUUUACGAGCAUAUACCGUAACAUUAGUGGUAUAUGUUAUUUGAUGGCCGUCCAUUUUUUGAAUUGCAACCAUCUAAGGAUGCAUUCCUGAUUCGAAUGGAACACAUUUGCAUAUAACUAAGGAUAAUUAAAACAACAACAACAACAUAGAAACUCUUUAGAUGGUUCCAUAGACCCCACACUCGGUGUAUUAGUUCCGAUUGUAUUUUUCAUGCAUUAUAAUGAUUCAUCCUUCUCUGACGAUGUGCACCGUUGGAUUGCCCAAUAACCACUAUGAGAUCUACCUAGACAAAUGAAAGAGAGUGUUUGGAGCGCUUUGAGAUCUAUACAAGAUAUAAUCCAACGGUUGAUGUCGCGAGUUCGUACCAAGACGCAACACAAACCCAUUAGUUCUGAUGGUACUCGACGCGUGUAUCUCCAUCUCCAUGGGCUCCCUGCAUAUAUAGCUGCUUUAUGGAUGGCUAGAACGGGAAAUAGGAGCAAUCUGACCCUCUUUGAUGUAUAUUUGUUUUAAUCGUUUUGACAAGCACGCUUGGUGUACUACUACCUACCAUCUCAGCAAGGAAAAUGAAAAGAAAAAUAAAAAAAAAUUAACGCACCUUUCAAGGUACAUGUACGGGACCUCCUCUUAACAGAGAGACAGUGAAACUAUUAAGCCACAACCCUUUUUGGUACGCCGCCGUCCGUCAUGGAUCUACUUUUGUUUUAGGAGAGUUUUGUUAAGCAAAAAUCAGAGCGUGAGAAUUUCCUCCAUUCUAGAUAUAUUGCUUUUUUUUUAAUAUAGGAGAUCACAGUAAGGCCUCACCGUAGCUCAUGCUGACAAGAAAAUAUGACAUCUUUAGAUUGCGUUGGACGUAUAUACAGCGGUCAAGAACUCGCAUCCCUUCUCCAAUCACACUAGUGGAGUGGCGCAGUACACGGAGGCCAUCGGAUUUCAACAAGAGCCUCUCAUUAACCGUACAGCAACAUGCUGUGGUCACAAUGUACUGCAACGUCCUACACCUUCUCUUUUAUAUGCCUUUUUCCCACUUUAUUUGCCUCCUUUCCCUUUCAUAUGCUUUGGUGCACUAAAGGAAUCUCAUUCCUCUAGUUGUAUCCGAUGACAGCUAGAAUUAAAGUAAGGCCCAUCAAAUAAACACCUUCCAUGGACCUAGAUUAGAGGCAUAUCCUCAAUGCCUUGGUUGUCGAGGACUCGAACUUUCUGAUGGGUAUGUUCGAUCCUUUAUCAGCAGAUGUGUGAGGGUCAUUCUGAUUUGCACUAGCCAUAUUUACUUCAGGGUUGCAGAUGAUUCAAACAAUAUUAUUUCGGCAUUCGUUAUAGUUACAUUUUUCCUCUAUUAGCAGUGGUGCAGGACUGCACUGAUGUCUUUUUGCAUCGAUCUGCAUGCAGACCAUGUACAUAUAAUGCCCAAAUAUCUUAUCCAGGUCCUUUUAACCAACUCUUUGACAUUCAUUCUGCAUAUACCGCAAGGUUGCUGAGAGGUCAAGGUUUCGCAUGCCAUAAGUAAAGGCAAUCAAGCAGCCAAUCUUUUUUUUAAUGAAAAAGAAGGAAGCAAGUUUCUUCCCCCUAUUAUUAAUUAAGUAAAAGAAAUUAUGUAGAGGAGUAAAAGAAACUAAUCAACUUGAGAGUUUCGGCUUGCUCAUGACUGAAUUUAACUUCGCCUUCUGGGUUGGGUGAUAAGUACAUGUCAGCUGAUGCUUGUGGGAUUGGGUUUGUGAGGAUGUAACAGGGAUGCUUCCCCUUGCUUGGCUUCAGUUGAGCAAGGCAUUACUCGUCGAGUUCGGCUUGCAAGUCACCAAACCAGUCUGACUCUCAAGCUGCGUCCAAACCUACAUUUAUGCUUAGGAAAUUUUGCAAGAACAAUCACUAUAUUUUGCAUUAUAUAUAUAGAUCAUGAGGAUAUAGCUCUUAUGUUUUUGCAAGAGUGUUUUUAAAAUUUCCAAACACCUUUUGCCACAAGUUUCAUGGAUACAAUCCAGUAACUAAUUAUCGGAAAACCUAGGCAUUUGGCACCUAGUCAAUACAUGCAUUUACAUAUUAAAAAUAUGUGCAUUUUAUUAAAAAAACAGAUAUGUGCUGUAUUAUUUCAGCCCACGUAUAAAGUUAGAGUGCAUCUGUUAAGAUCAAAAAUACAAGUAUUCAAAAAUUUCACAAUCAAGUAUAUAUGCAAACUAAAUAAAGAAACAUGACCAGAAUUAAAAAAAAAAAGCAGCUUGUUUACUCAAAACUUCUUUAGUUUUAUAGGAGAAAGAGAAAAUCAUGAAUUUGAGAAAUUCUGUUAAAAAUUAUUCUUUAUUUUUCAUAAUUUAAUAAAUUUUAUAAAGUUCUACAGCACAAUAGUUUUCCACAACAGAUUCACAUCUUCCUUUAUCAUUGUCACAGAGCUAGGUUAUUUUUCUUCUUUUAUAAAAAAAAGACAGAGCUAAGGUGCUAUCACCACUCAACACUGAGACAAUACGAGCACAAGAUAGUCCCCAAACCAAAAAAGCAGGGGAAAAAAAAAGAAGGAAAAAACAUCUUAUAUAAUCGUCAUCUUAUCUUGAGAUUUGAGAUAAUGGAUGCUGAAAACUUUUUCUAACUUAUUUGGCCCAAAAAGCCGUAAACGGGCAUCAGCAUCUCUUGAUGAAUAGAGAUGGUUUCCCUUCCGGCAAUGGCCGAUAGAGGCCGACGAAACCCCACGAUUGGGGUAGAAAUAAGAUCGAAGAAGAGGAAGGAAUCACAGGAAAGGUAAGAGUUUUAACAAAAUAAGAAAGCAAGGAAGGAGAGGAGAAAAAAAAUAUUUUUAUUCGGUAGUGUGGGGCCAGCGGUUCGCGCGAGUGCGUAAAGAUUUUGCCGCUCUCAAUUUUGGCGCUCAAGACCCCAGGUGCGGGGUCCACGGCGGUGGACGGAGGGGCCUCCGAUUCCACCAGGGAAACGGCCAAAUGGCGAUUGUUUCGCUUUGCACCGGCGCGGCUGGUAGACGGGGGACCACCAAUUCCGCGCGGGAUCGAAAUGGCCAAAUGGGUUUGGUUUCCUUUUUACCCUCUGCGAGCCCCAUAUCCGUCCGCACGUACUGACCCUUGUUCACUUUUGGUACACACACCUACGAACCCUUUCCUUUCAACGCGUGGGACGCACUUUGGCCCAGAUAUUCAUUCAAGGUGACUCCUUGCGGUGCUCGCAAGCAUUGAGGCGUACAUAUCUUAUCUCUGGCGUCUGACAUGCAUCCAUCGUUUCUAAGAGAAUGGGUGUGACAAGUAUCCGGAUCAAAAAAUAAUGAAUAGAUAUAAAAAUAAUCUGAACAGCUAAAGAGUAUUGGAACACUAUUAACGCUGGGCACCUGAGAUGGUGAAAAGUGGAGUGGCUAUUCAAGAAUAAAUAGAAAAUAUAAUUGGUACUAGAGCAUGGACUCAAUCCUUCGAGCAUGUGUUAUAAUAGCAGAAAUUUCGUAUUCUAAGCAUCGCUGGGUUUCUUUCUGGGAUUAUGGGAAGCACGCUUAUCUUUUGCGGUGCUGGAUUCUUUAUCCUCAGCAGGUUCUUUGGAUUCUAUGGUAUUCUGAUAUGUUAUGGUGCUGGAAUUCUUACAGAUUGUUAAUCUGCUGAUGUUUCUCCUAGUCGGAAUCUCGGUAUAGCAUAUUCUGUUAUGUUUUGGUUUUCCGCCAGUCUUCUGCAGCGCUACUACUGAGAGAGGUGUGUGGCUAUAUGUAUCAUCAUGCAUCUGUGGUAAUUUUCGCAUCCUGUAAAACUGUUUUAUUUGCAAUAUAGCUUCCAGCUCCUCUUUCUACCCAAAGAAGAAGAAGAAGAAAGAAAAAGCAAAAAAAAGGAAAGCAGAAAAAAUAGUAUUUUCACCUCAAUGUAUUAUUAUUUGUAUUUUUUUUCAGAAAAUUUACUAGUUUUGAAAUUUUAGAACACUUUUGCUCCUAGCCCUGUCAGAUGCAGUCCAACCCACUUAUGCACACCCAAUACUAAAAAAAUGUGUAUCCAAUUGUGUAAUUGUGACGUCUUCUGAACAGACGAGACUUCAGAUUAACACGCGUACGUAGAAUUGCAAAGCUGGACUGUCAAGUGGGCGGCAAGGAGCAUCUCAUUUGAUCUCCACACACAACCAGUUGCUUGGACUGAAGCUGAUGAUGUGUUGGUCACAUAUAUGCAUUCCUUCAAAGCCCACUUGGAUGUUUUCCACCAAACCAAGAAAUCUAUUGCCCUUGAAGAACAGGCAAGGAAUUGCAUUGAUACCAUUGAGGUAGGGUGCACCAAAUAUUACACGUGCAUGCAUUUAGCUUUCAUGCCAGGUUAUGAACCUAUUUUGAUUGGCUAUGAUAGUAAAUGUUGCUUAGAAAGAGUAAUAUGCGGUUGGAAUCCCAAUACUCUCGGCUGCAUAUGAAAUAUCGAGUUUUUUUUUUUUGAUGAAGCGAGAGGUUUAACCAUUCGGUUUUCUAUUCAAAAGAAGUUCAAAGACAAGUUACAAGAAGUUGUGUAAUUGCUAUAGUGCUAUGAGAGGGAGCCUCCGCAGUGCUACGAGAGUGCCACUCAUUUUAAAUAUCGAGUUUCUUCACGAAGUAGAAUUCCAUUAUGUUGUGAGCAUACACUUUGCGGCAUCUUGAAUGGCCAAAUUAUUAAAUCUUCUUGUUCUCUCUCCACACAAACGACGGCAACAAAGAUGACAUGAAAAUCUUCCAAAAUAACGAAAAUAGAUCGUUAUGUCCUCAUACAUUGUUAUUGAUCAUUUCCUCGGUGAAUAAUAAAAGGACUUUCCACUUUGUACAUGAAAAUUUCUUCUGCCAUAUGGGGAGUGGUAGAACUUUGUUUAGUCGAUACUCAAGCAUUGGUUGCAUACCGAGCUGCUAAGCCAGCAACAAAAAAAAAAAACUUCAUUGCAACGGUGAUAUCACGUCAAACUUAUUAUUACCCAAUGAGAACGAUGGUUGUAUUCCAUGGAUUGCCAUAUAUUUCAUCAAUUUUCAUGAUGAUACUCCGUUAUUGGGUUGUUGCAAGUUUGACAUGGUAUCAUGGUUGCAACGAAAAUCUUUUCGGCAAUAGGUGUGUACAAAGAGUUUUUGAAGAGCGCCAGUAAGUACUAUUAAUCUCCACUGUAGGAAAAGGGAUGCAUAGCAUUUGCUCCCCAUGCAUGCUCCCUUAUUUUCCAACUAAAGAAAUUUACCUAAAAUCAGAUCCCAUCACGACGGGAAAAAAAAUCAAAGGAGGACUUGCCUUGUUUUUCUAUCGGAGUAACUCAGAUACUGGUUGAAAACCGAAUACCAUCCCAUCCCAUCCCUCAAAAAGAAAAAAAAAAAGAAAAAGAAAAAAGGAAAUCGAUCAUUGACUAUAAGAGGGACAUCCGAUAGCAUGUUCUCAUCGGACUUUAAUCCAAGUUAAAAACUUCAUACAAAAGAUCAUGCCAUUAUUAGAUAACCAAUUUUAGCAAAAUCACUCACAUUUUAUUGAGUUGUGCUAACAAAAAAAAAACACUAAAAAUAAUAAGAAGAUACUGCUAUCAUUUAAUCAAACUAUUGUUCAUCAAAUAUUUUUUUAGUUAGCAUGUAGAUUUGAUUUAAAAAUAUCAUUUAUUCAGAAAUGUCAAAUAAUGAUUAUUUAUCUUUAUUUUCAACAGAUUUUGUAGACACAAAUGUUCAAUUAUCAAAAUUUUAGCUAACAAUAUAUAUUUAUUGCAUAUAAUAACUUGGGAAUUUCUUUUAGACAGAGUUUCUAUUUGUGAGAAAUUUUAAAACAAGUAAUAGUUUUUUGUUGGAGAUAUUUUUACAAAAGCUUUUAUUCGGAGUUUUUGUGGGUUUCAAAAUAUAGAGAUUUUUGCUCUUCAGCUAAUAGUUUCUUCUAUGCAUGUGUUAAUAGUGGUUUGACUUUCAUUAAAAAAAAAAGAGGACAAUUCACAAGGGACUACUGUAGUUAAAUAUAAAAGUUAUAUUUUAUAUUUAACUAUUAUAUUUAACUAUAGUAGUUCAAUAUAAAAUGCAACUUUUAUAUUUAACUAUAGUAGUCCCGCAUGAAUUGUCCUUUUUUUUUUAAUAUAAAAGUUACUUUUCUAUUGGAGAAAAUUUUUUUUUCUUCCCAAUAGUCUCCGAUGGAUCCUUUUAUUCGGCAGCCAACAGUCAGACCCCUCUCUCUCUCCCUUCUUUCUUCUCUUUCUCUCUCUCCCUCCCUUCUCUCUCUCUCUAUUUCUUCCCCUCCUCUCCUUCUCUCUCUUCUUUGGAUGUUCUAGUCGAAUGGCAAGGCCAUCUCGGGCCGAAAGCUGGCUUCUCCUCUCUCUCUCUCGCCCUUGCUUCCUCUUUCUCUCUCUUUGUUGUUGGAACCUCCCUCUCCUCUCUCCCCAUGGAUGAGCCCCUCACCCUCUUGAGGCCUUCGAAGGAGGCCGGAUGUUCUCAUGGGUUGACGCCAGCUGGUUGCUGGGCCCCUCCCCCCUCUCUCUCUCUCAUUCUCUCCCUCCUUGUCCCGCCUUUUCUAUCUCCCUAGCUCUUCCUCUUUUCCCAUCUUUUUUCAAUGUUGGUUGGCCGUUCUUCUCCUUCGACAGUCGAUCUAGCUGGCUGGUUGAGUUAUCACCCCCGCCCCCCGAUCGAGCUUCACUCACUAUAAGAAAAUAAGGAUUUAGCAACUAAAAAAUUGGUUGCUAAAUAGCAAAAAUCGAUUGUAAAUUUAAAGUUGGUUGUAAAAAUUGUGAUCGUAAAUAUUUUGCGACUGAUUUUGUCGGUUGCAACAUUAAUUUGCGACUGAUUUAGUGAUCGAAAUAUAAAAAAAUUAAUAAAAUUUUAUGAUCAAUUUAGCGAUCGAUAAAAAAUAUUUAAAAUUUUGCGAUAUAUUUUGUAAUUUUAUUAAAAUAUUUUUUAUAAACAAAAUUGAUCAUAAAAUCGGUCGCUAAUUAUUUUUAAAUUUUUUAAAUUAAAAUAUCGAUUGUAAAAUCAAUUGCUAUUUUUAUUAAAAUAUUUUUUAUUAACAAAAUUAUUUGUAAAAUUGAUUUCUAAUUACUUUUAAAUUUUUAAAUUAAAAUAUCAAACAUAAAAUUGAUCUCUAAUUUUAUUAAAAUAUUAUUUAUUAACAAAUCAAUCAUAAAAUCGAAUGUUAAUUAUUUUUAAAUUUUUUAAAUUAAAACAUCGAUCGUAAAAUCGAUCGUUAAUUUCAUUAAAAUAUUUUUUAUUAAAAAAUUAAUCAUAAAAUCGAUCGCUAAUUACUUAUAAAUUUUUUAAUCAAAAUGUCGAUCACUAAUUUUAUUAAAAUAUUUUUAUUAAUAAAAUUGAUCAUAAAAUUGAUCAUUAAUUACUUAUAGAUUUUUUUUAAUCAAAAUAUCGAUUACAAAGUCAGUCGCUAAUUUUAUUAAAAUAUUUUUUAUUAAUAAAAUUGAUUACUAAUUAUUUUUAAAUUUUUUAAAUCAAAAUAUAGAUCGUAAAAUCGAUUGCUAAUUUUAUUAAAAUAUUUUUUAUUAACAAAAUUGAUCGUAAAAUUGAUCGUUAAAUAAUUUAAAUUUUUUUAUAAAAAUAUCGAUCACAAAAUCGAUCUCUAAUUUUAAGUCAAUAAAAAAAAUAAAUUCAAAGUCAUUAUUUUUUUUCUUAUUACAAUAUCUAUAAAUUUAUUUUUUUGAUAAAAAUUAUAAUUUUAUUCGUUGAACCAAAAAUAAAGUAGAAUAUGAACAGCAGUCUCAAUUAAGAAGUACAAGAACAUAACUUAUGAGAAAAAAAUAGAUAAGCAGAAUUAUAUAACAGUAAGCAAAGUAAGACAAGAUCAUAGAGAAGAAAGAUGGCGUCAGAGUGAAAUAUAUAGAGCCCAGAGUCAGUCAAAAUAUGAUAUCCAUAAAAAGAAAGAAUAUAUGAGUAAGGAGACUGUCAUUGGUAUUGUAAGAAAAGCUUCUGUACAGCGGCAAAGGAUCAAGAAGAUCCAUAAAUAUAGCAAAAAAUUUCGUGACAAAAUCAAGCCAAACAAUCUGUAGCAGCUGAAUCUGUUGUUGGGAUAGAUGUAUAUCAUGAUAAGGCAAUACAGUAAGCCCGGGUAGAUAAGGAAGGCAGAAAUUGUAGCCAUAGUAAAAUUUAUUCCUCAAUACAAUCACACUUUGUAUAGACUGGUAGUAGUAAAAUUCAUAAAGAAAUUGCAUAUGGAAACACCUGUGAAUGGUCUCAAAAGUAACAUAUCUAGGGCCUUAUGUCUCAGCUUCAAAAUUAAAAUUCAUCAUCAACCAUAGAUAAACAAGAAAACAAAUAAUCCACAGCCAUAGAUGCACGAGUGUGCACACUAUAUAUAUGCCAUAUCCCCAAGAAAAAAUAGAUAGCUAUAUGUAAACAAGAGGUUUCAGUAGAAGGGACAAGCAGCCAACUGUCUUGUAAAAAUAGCAAGCCAUCCAAAACAUACCAGGGCCCAAGAGGUAGUGAGAUUGAAAAAAGAGGAUGCGUGCCACAAGGAGUGUCAGAGAAUCAUCAAUGCUAGCUAACAUACUUUUUCUACUCUGCUGAGCACAUCUGCAAAUUUAUUGAAAGAUAACAGAACCAAACAACGUCGUCAUCCAUCCAACAUACAAAUCCAAGCAACAUAACCUAAAUAAUAGAGUCCAAUAUGCUAAAGUACGGAUCAUCAUCGUAAAAAAUAAGAAGGCAACCAUAAGAAUAUAGCAAUUAAAAUCCAUCUAGUUUGGAUCAUCAUCAGAAAAAAUAAGAAAGCAACUAUAAGAAUAUAGUAAUCAAAAUCCAUUGAUACCCAUCAGCUUUUAGACAUCAUAUGGGAACAAGAAAAAGAGCCCAUAAAUAUCUAUGGAACCAUUUUCUUCAAUAUUCGUUAAUUAAGUUUGGAUCAUCAUUAAAAAAAAUAAAAAGGCAACCAUUAGAAUAUAACAAGUAAAAUCCAUCGACAUCCAUCAGCUUUAAGACAUCAUAUGGAAAUAAAAAAAAAUACCAUAGUAUACCUCAAACCAAAUAUAUCACAAGUAUUAUCUGCAGUAACGUACGGGAGUGAUAUGAACAUAAUAUAUAGAGUCAGUGAGGCAAUAAGAAAGUACUAUUUUUACUUUUGAUUAUAAAAAACUCUACUAUUGUAAGCUAAAAGUAAAAUUCAACAACACCCAUCAGCUUUAACACAUCAUAUGAAAAUAAAAAAAAAAAGACCGUAGCAAUCUAUGAAGCCACUUCUUUCAAAAUCAGUGGAGCCAGUCUCAUCAAUAUCUAUUUAUUUAGAUUAUCAUCAGAAAAAAUAAGAAGACAACCAUAAAAAUAUAGCAAUCAAAAUCCAUCAGCACCCAUCAGAUUUUAGAUAUCAUAUGGGAACAAAAAAAAAGCCGAUAGCAAUUUGUGAAGCCAUUUUCUUCAAUAUUCAUUAAUUAAAUUUAGAUUAUUAUCAAAAAAAUAAAAAGAUAAUUAUAAGAAUAUAGCAAAUAAAAUCCAUCGACACCCAUCAACUUUAAGACAUCAUAUGGGAACAAAAAAAAGAACCCAUAGCAUACCUCAUGCCAAAUUUCUCAUAUAUAUUACCUGCAGCAAUAGGGGUGAUAUGAACAUAAUAUAUAGAGCCAGUAAAGUAAUAAGAGAGUGCUAUUUUUGCUUUCGAUUAUAAAGAACUCCAUUGCUCUAAGUUAAAGCAAAAUCUAACGGCACCCAUCAGCUUUAACAUAUUAUAUGAGAAUAAAAAAAAGAAGCCAUUGCAAUCUAUAGAGCCACUUCUAUCAAAAUCAGUAGAGUCAGUUCCUUCAAUAUCUAUUUAGUUUAGAUUAUCGUCAGAAAAAAUAAGAAGACAACUGUAAAAAAAUAGCAAUCAAAAAAAUUCAUUGACACCCAUCAGAUUUUAGACAUACAUCAUAUGGAAACAAAAAAAAAGUUCAUAGCAAUCUGUGAAGCCAUUCCUUUCAAUAUCCAUUAAUUAAGUUUAGAUCAUCAUCAGAAAAAAUAAGAAGGCAACCAUAAGAAUAUAGCAAGCAAAAUUCAUCAACACCCAUCAGCUUUAAGACAUCAUAUGGAUGAAGAAAAAGAGGCUAUCACGUAACAAAUCAUCCACCCAUAAUAUUAUUGAGUACAAGUCUCUAAAGAAUUUACUUAACUCAGUUAUGGACUUCCACAUUUAAUCUGGUAAUGCACUAAAGGCAAUUGGUAGCAAAUACUCUAUAAACACAUGACAAUCAUAACUUUUCAGUCUGAAUAAAUUUAUUUCUUUUAAAUUUACACAUCUGCAUAAAUUGGAGGCAUAUCCAUCAGGUAUUUUUAACUCCUUGACCUAUUUAUAUAUAGCUUUUUUCUGUUCCAUGGUUAAAAUGAAUUUUGCUUUCAGUUUCAUCACUUUUCUAUUAGCUAAUUCUUGCAAUUCUAGAUCUCUUUGCUUAUAAUACUUCUUCAAAUCCAUUCUUACUUUUACAUUAUCUUUGAUUUUAUCUUUAGUAUCCAUGAUUGUGUUAAACACAUUAUCAAACAUAUUUUUUUCUAUAUGCAUCACAUCUAGAUUGUGUCUGAUCAAAUUAGUUUGUCAAUAUGGUAAGUCCCAAAAUAUACUUUGCUUUAUCCAAUUAUAUGUAACCCUAUAUCCAUCAUAUCUACAGAAACCCUCCUCAGUUAUCUUUGGAAGAGAAGAAAUAAUUUUUCACAGUUCAUCCCCAGUCAACCUAUGGAGAGGGCAAUUUUUUUCAACCUGAUUUUUAUAGAAUGCAUCUCUAUUUCUUCUGAAUACAUGAUCCAUAGGCAAAAAUUGACAAUGACAAUGAAAUCAAAAAUUUUUACCAUCAUGUUUCAAAGUGAAUACCUUUGAUCGCUCCAUACAAUAUGGACAUGCCAAUUUUCUGCUAUACUUCACCCUAACAACAUACCGUGUGCAGGCAAGUUAUUGAUCGUCCACAUUAAUGCUGCCCUCAUCAUAAAAUUUUACUUUCUUGAAAUAUCAUAUGUUAGGAUGCCUUCUUUUUACAAUAAUUUCAACUCAUCUAUCAAAGAUCGUAAAUGCACAUCUAUCCGACUCUUUAGAUUUUGUGGACCGCGGAUAAUCAAAGUCAAGAACAUAUAUGGAGUAGUCAUGCAUAGUUCUAGAGAAAGAUUGUAAAGAGUAAUAAUUACUGACUAACAAGAAUAUGGUGCAGCUGAUUGACUAUAUGGGAUAAAAUCAUCAGCAUAUAAGCCUAGCUUGAUAUUUCGUGGUUCAGUUGCAAAAUCAGAAUAUGUUUGAUCAAAGUAUUUUCAAGCUUCUCCAUCUAAUGAGUGACAUAAUAUCCCUGACUCCCGUCUAUUCUCAUAAUGCCAUCUCAUGUAUGGAGCAGAAUUCAUAGAAACAUACAAUCUCUUUAACCUAGGAAUGAGGGGUAAAUAAUGCAUCUUUUUCAUGGAGAUCUCUUUAUAUUGUCUGUUAACAAUCUUCUUUAUUUUAUAACAAGCUGUACUAUAAAAUUUACAUACCUUAUCUUCUUUAUUUUCAACAUAAUAUAACAUACAACCAUUAAUGUAACAGUCUAUUUUUUGAGCAGCAAGGCCAAGUUUGGAUACUAAUUUCUUUAUUUUAUAAAAAUCUUGAGGGAUUACAUUAUCAGGAUGAUUUAUCUCUUUCAUAAGUCUCACUAUUUGAUCAAAAGAUCUUUGAAAAAUAUUUUUCUUCGAUUUAAUACUUAAUAAUCUAACAGCAACAGACAACUCAGAGUGAUCAUUAUAUCCCGACCAUAACAGUUGCUGAACUGCAUAUAACAUAUCACAAAAUUUUUGAGCAUCCAUAUUUGGAGGCCUCUUCACAUUUUGUUCAUGAUGAAACCCAAACUCUUGGCCAAUAGCAUCAAAAAUCAUAUCUCGAUAUCUAUUCAAUUGUUCAUCAUUACCCAAUUGUGAACUAUUAGAAGCACCUGAAUGCAUAUAAAACAACCUACCCACACGAGGAUCACUUUCUUCAUGUGAUGUCCCAUACCAAUAAUUAAGUAUAAAUCUUUUUUUUAUAAAGAUCAACCUUCACUCCAUCAGGACUUAAGUACUUUUGGUUUUUGCAUUUGGAACAAGGACAUCUAAUUUUUUCAUGGCUCUUAAACUGUGGUUGUUGGCAUGCAAAAGAAAUAAAUUCUUCCACCCCUCUUAAAAGUAUAUUAGUAUAUCCCUUUCGACCAGAUAAAAGCCUAUUAUACAUCCAACUAUGAUGAUGACGAAUAUCCAUAUUCUACAAUAUAAUAAAAUUUAAUCAUACGAUUAUAAUAUUCACAAAAUGCAUAAUAUUCAAAAUUAAGCUUCUUGCCAAACUCUAUUGGUACCAGACCCCCAAAUGCAUGAAAAAAAAAUAAAUGACAACCACAUUAAUAUUUAGAAAGCAUAAAAUUAGUUUUUAGCCCUAGAAUUUAGAUUAUAAUCCAAAAAUUUUUAAUCAAUUAGGGAAAAUAGAAAACAACAGCAAGAGAAUAAGAGAGAUAAGAACAUACCUCAAAGGUCGGUGGUCACUUUUUGAUGAUAGAUAGGAGGGGAUUGAGAAGAAUAAGGCCGGUGGUCAUUUUUCGAUGGUCACAUAUGUGAAACAAGGAUAAAUUAGAACCAAUUAUAUAACUAAAUGUCUAAGCCACUAACUUUAACAGAUCCGAGAAAUGCAACAUUGAGGAAAUUUGAAGCAUUCAGGCAAUUUGUCAUGUGGGAAAUCAGUAUGUAAGAUACAUUAUUUGGUACCAAUACUUGGUAUAGAGGGUGUACUCAAAAUCAAUUUUCUACUAGCAUUGUGUAAAGUACAUCCCAUAUUGGCCAUCAUGGUCUGGUAUGUAGAACCUUGAUUUUGAUUGUAUUUUCUAUAAUGAUGGAGGUAAUAAAUAGCUUGAGAGGAAAAUCAUAAAGCAUCAUGCAUACCUUCAAACAUUCAUUUUAAAUACAGGUAUUGAUAAAGGGGAUCGAUAGUUAAAUACCAAUAAAAAGGGUUAUCCCCAGAUACUCCACUCUUUCAAUGACAUAUUUAUUAUUUAUACUUGCAAGUUGUCAGAUAUGCUUACAUAUCCAUAAAAUUUUCAAUGGUUUCAGCAUUAUUAAAAAAAAAAAGCCUAAAAAGAUGAGGCAAUCAAAGAGAGUGGAAGAUAAGUCUUUAUCAUUUCAUUGCCUAAAAAGAUUGAGCAACUAAAGAAUAUUAUGGCGUAGAUACCUUUGUGCCCUCACAUUUGAGUUGCCCCUUACCUUUCUCUCCUUUAACAUAAAGCUAAAGCAAGUGUGGUGAUGCAAUUUGUCUGAUGGAAUCAAGGUUUUCAACUCUAGGAAACAAGUGUGGGAAAUGAUGCAUAGAUUGCAUGUUUUGGCUCUCUCUCUCUCUCUCUCUCUGUGGCACUUGAUGCAAGUGAAUAGAAUAGCCAUAGGUAUAAUAUUCAGCAGAUUAAUAAAAUAAUAUAAAAAAUUAAAUGAAAACCUAUGAAAAAUCAAAUGAACAGCCAUAGGUAUAAUGUUCGAUAGAAAGAUUACCCAGUGAGCUCGCUGGUGUCGCUGGAGAGGGGAGGGAAGG
rnacentral:lncRNA from 1 species